CUGAGCCCAGGGUUUGGUAGGCAAGGGGGGAGGUGGGUGCAAUGUUUCUUCUUUUGAUGUGUCCUUGUCUCUACCUCAGGGCCCUGGACGCCCUGCCUGUUCAGAAGAGACUGUGGAUGUCCCCAAGCCUCGUGGUCCCUGCUUCGGAUGAUGUGGGGCAGCAUCCAUCUGAACGCAUAUCACUACCAAGUCCAAGGUUUUGGAAGGAAGCCCUUCUCCUCUCCCAUCUCAGUAUUAGACCAUCGGACCUUGGGACACGGGACUCAGGCCGCUGACUCUGCAUCCCUCACAAGUGCACAGAGCUGCCUGCCCUUUUGCCUUGUGUCCAUCCUGGAGCGGCCUUCUGCCAGCUUCUAUGUUGCCUGUCCUUGGUCAGCUUGAAUCUCUUGAGAGAGCUGAGUCUUGUGUGUGCCUAGGCCCUGCCACAGGGCCGUGGACGGCCUGCCUGUUGAGGCGAGUUUAUGGAUGUCCCCGGCCCCCAGUGGUCCCUGCUUCAGAUGAUUUGGGGCAAUUCCAUCUGAAUGCACAUCACUACCAAGUCCAAGGUUUUGGAAGGAAGCCCUUCUCCUCUCCCAUCUCAAGAUUACACCAUGGGACCCUGGAAGAGGGGACUCAGGCCCCUGUCCCUGGAUCCUUGACCACUGCACACUGCUGCCUGCCUUUUCCUUGUGUCCAUCCGGGAACAGCCUUCUGCCAGCUUUGAUGUUACCUGUCCUCGGUCCACUUGAAUCUGUUGAGAGAGCUGAGUCCUGUGUGUGCCUAGGCCCUGCCACAGGUACCUGGACGGCCUGCCUGUUUAGGCGAGGUCGUGCAUGUCCCUGGCCCCUUGUGGUCCCUGCUGUGGAUGGUGUGGGGCACAUCCAUCUGAAUGCACAUCACUUCCAAGACCAAGGUUUUGGAACUUUGAUGUUACCUGUCCUCGGUCCACUUGAAUCUGUUGAGAGAGCUGAGUCCUGUGUGUGCCUAGGUCCUGCCACAGGUAGGU